rnacentral:rRNA from 1 species
CGGGACGGGUGAGUAACGCGUGAGGAACCUGCCUUUCAGAGGGGGACAACAGUUGGAAACGACUGCUAAUACCGCAUAAGCCCACGGCUCGGCAUCGAGCAGAGGGAAAAGGAGCAAUCCGCUUUGAGAUGGCCUCGCGUCCGAUUAGCUAGUUGGUGAGGUAACGGCCCACCAAGGCGACGAUCGGUAGCCGGACUGGGAGGUUGAACGGCCACAUUGGGACUGAGACACGGCCCAG